rnacentral:antisense_RNA from 1 species
CUUCAGCGAGCCGAGCCACAGUGGGCGGCCCGCCGGCCGGUCCCGGCCGUACGUGGCGAGCAGCGCCUGCGCCUC